rnacentral:rRNA from 1 species
ACUUGCCUACAACAUAGAGUUAAUGCAAAAAAUCCCAUUAGAACUCCAUAGUUAAUCACACUCAGACUAGAGUAGUACUAGGAUGGGUGAUCGCCUGGGAAGUCCUAGUAUUUUACAUGCC